rnacentral:sRNA from 1 species
UGUUAUGUUUGUUAUGUUUGUCAAAAUUAUUUGUUAUAUUUGUCAAAAUUUAGUAAAAUAUAUUCAAAUAUAAUUAAAUUUAUUAAAACUUAAUAAAUUUAAAAGUUUUUUUUGUUUGGAGACGCACUAUCUACAUACAAAAUACCCGUUUCUAUUUUUUUGAGUAUUUUUAGGGCCUGAAACUUUUUAUCCAAACUGACUCAAACCCAACUGGACCGACCCGAACCGAAUAUUUAGAAUUAUUCUAUUAGGUAGUAAAUCAUAUACCCAUUAAUCCCAAACCCGAACGGGUUCUACCCGAACUCGAAUGUGUUACUCAUAUGCCCAGCCCUAUUCUCUGAUUUAAUUAUCUAAAAAAUCCCAAUAAAACAUAUGUUUUGCUGACUACUUUUUAUUCAAAAAAAUUUACAUCCUCUUUUGCCAAAAUCAUUUCAUAAGACAUCCCAAAACCCUUGGAAUAAUGAUUCCAUGAAUGAAGAAUCCUAAUUUGAAUAUACCAAGAGGUUUUGAAAGGUUUUAAGUUUUUGAUAGGUGUGUAUGUGAGAAGGUACAUCCAUCGUGAUGGUAAUCUGCUUAUUUAUAAUUUUAACUUGCAUUAUACAGCAGGUAGGCUUAUAUUUUAGUUAAACUAAAAACUUUUAUUGUAAAGUUGAUUAUAAAUAUAUGAUAUUAUUUUAUUUGAUUUUAAAUGUAUAGUAAACUGCGAGUUGUAUAUGUUUUGUUGAUAUUAUUUAUAUUGUUUAGUGUUUAAAAUUAUAUACUUGUAUUUUGAUUGUUAAUUUUAGAGUUUCACCUGUAGUAUACCAUCUUGUAUUAAUAUUGAUUUAAACCCGUCAAUUCUAGGAUUUUUCAGCUUGUAUUAAAAAUUGAAUCACAUCAUACACAUUAAAAAAUCUAAUAUGUUAUUAAUUAUUGUAGUAUAUAAGAUUAUAAAUUUUAAAAUAAUAUGUAUGAAAUUGAAUAUAAAUAUUCAAAUUAUGACACAGUACUCAGUAAAAAAAAUUCUUAAAUCUACUUUUGACCCGUUAUAGUAUUUUUCAUGUAUUGAACAGUUUAUAUUCGUUUUUAAAAAUUCAAAUUGUGGCAUAUGCGAAAAAAUUCUAAUUAUUUUUUUAUAACGAUGAUAUUAUUUUUUCGCAAAAAUAGAAUCAUAUAAAGAUGAGAGGUGAACUAUAAUAAUUAAUAAAAAAUUAAUAUGAUAAUUUAGAUAUCAAAUCUAAUUUGUUGAUUUUAAUUGGUUAAUUUUUUGGAAAUUAAUAAUGUAUUUCGUUUUUGAGUUAAAUUUAAUGAAUUAAAUUAGUAUUUGACUUUUUUAUUUUUAAAGAAAUGAAUUAAUUUACUCUUUAAAAUUUUAUUUCUAAUGGCAUACCUAUGUAAUUAUUUACAAAAAAUAAGAUUAUAUUUAAAAUGUAGUAAUACGUUGGCAUGGAUAAAAAUCUAAUAAAGCAAGAAAAAUAAAAGCAGUGAGGGAUAAGGAAAAACU